UGGGGAAUUUUGGACAAUGGGCGCAAGCCUGAUCCAGCAAUGCCGCGUGCAGGAAGAAGGCCUUCGGGUUGUAAAGCUCUUUCGGGUGGAAAGAAAACGCAUAGGUUAAUACCUUGUGCGGAUGACGGUACCAUCAGAAGGAGCACCGGCUAACUACGUGCCAGCAGCCGCGGUAAUACGUAGGGUGCGAGCGUUAAUCGGAAUUACUGGGCGUAAAGCGUGCGCAGGCGGUUUUGUAAGACAGAGGUGAAAUCCCCGGGCUAAACCUGGGAAUUGCCUUUGUGACUGGAAGGCUUGAGUGCGGCAGAGGAGGAUGGAAUUACGCGGGUAGCAGUGAAAUGCGUAGAUAUGCGAAGGAACACCGAUGGCGAAGGCAAUCCCCUGGGCCUGCACUGACGCUCAUGCACGAAAGCGUGGGGAGCAAACA
rnacentral:rRNA from 1 species